rnacentral:rRNA from 1 species
GAGCGGAUGAAGAGAGCUUGCUCUCUGAUUCAGCGGCGGACGGGUGAGUAAUGCCUAGGAAUCUGCCUGGUAGUGGGGGACAACGUCUCGAAAGGGACGCUAAUACCGCAUACGUCCUACGGGAGAAAGUGGGGGCUCUUCGGACCUCACGCUAUCAUAUGAGCCUAGGUCGGAUUACCUAGUUGGUGAGGUAAUGGCUCACCAAGGCGACGAUCCGUAACUGGUCUGAGAGGAUGAUCAGUCACACUGGAACUGAGACACGGUCCAGACUCCUACGGGAGGCAGCAGUGGGGAAUAUUGGACAAUGGGCGAAAGCCUGAUCCAGCCAUGCCGCGUGUGUGAAGAAGGUCUUCGGAUUGUAAAGCACUUUAAGUUGGGAGGAAGGGCAUUAACCUAAUACGUUGAUGUUUUGACGUUACCGACAGAAUAAGCACCGGCUAACUCUGUG